rnacentral:rRNA from 1 species
UUAAACGUACCACGUUGUAUACACCGGUUUUCGUUCGAUCACCGAAGUUAAGCAACGUUCGGCGCGGUCAGUACUUGGAUGGGUGACCACCUGGGAACACCGAGUGACGUUUGCU